GGGGGUAUAGCUCAGUGGUAGAGCAUUUGACUGCAGAUCAAGGAGUCCCCGGUUCAAAUCCGGGUGCCCCCU
rnacentral:tRNA from 1 species